GCCUGUUGUGACAGGACAAGGGGCAAUGGGCACAAACAGAAGCACAGGAAGUUCUGUCUGAAAAUGAAGACAAACUUCUUUACAUAGUGGGUGGCAGAGCAUUGCAACAGGCUGCUCAGAGAGGUUGUGGAGUCUCCUUCUCUGGAGAAGUUAAAAGCCUGCCUGGAUGUGAUGCUUCAGGUGAACUUGCUUUAGCCCAGAGGUUGGACUAGAUGGCCUCCACAGGGCCCUUCCAUCCUUCCUGUGAUUCUGUGAAAUGCAUCACAGUAGUUUUAGACACAAUGGAGAUAACUGAACUUUGUGAUGUGGGGACUUAAGCAUCAUAAUUUCUGAUUAUAAGUAACACUGAAGAAAAGGAGAAUGAUGGACUAGUAAUUAUAACUUUUUACUGUCAUGUUUUUGUUUUAUUGAAUGAAAUGAGACUUCUACUUACUUC